UUAAGAGAGAGACCCUUACAGCUGAGCUUGAAAUACCCCCGGUGUUACUGCAUGACGCCAGCUGAUCAAACUGCACGCCACCGAUAACCAUUAUCUCUCUGACUCAUAUCAGAUCAUGAGUGGCUGACUACACUAUCCUGCUUACUGUGAAGGUCAGGAGUUCAUUGCAGGUCAGGGUCAGACGCAGUACCUGGUCUGCCACAGCGUUCUGGACCAGUGGAUGUAAAAGGAACUCAACAUCAUAAGGUCGAAAUCUGGCCACCCCUUUCUCAGAGAGGAACUCCUGAAGGCUCAUCACCAGGUACCUGGAACGGCUUAUCAUACCACUUCCUGUACAGCUGAGGCAUUUCCAGCAUACGUGAAAUCUGCACGGCCAUCAAAGGGUCAUCCACUUUAUCUAACACAUUUGAAAAAAAA